UAACUGUUCAGGUAUUGACGUAUUUAACAGAAAGCCACGGCUAACUACGUGCCAGCAGCCGCGGUAAUACGUAGGUGGCAAGCGUUGUCCGGAUUUAUUGGGCGUAAAGCGAGCGCAGGCGGUUUUUUAAGUCUGAUGUGAAAGCUUUCGGCUCAACCGAAGAAGUGCAUCGGAAACUGGGAAACUUGAGUGCAGAAGAGGACAGUGGAACUCCAUGUGUAGCGGUGAAAUGCGUAGAUAUAUGGAAGAACACCAGUGGCGAAGGCGGCUGUCUGGUCUGUAACUGACGCUGAGGCUCGAAAGUAUGGGUAGCAAACAGGAUUAGAUACCCUGGUAGUCCAUACCGUAAACGAUGAAUGCUAAGUGUUGGAGGGUUUCCGCCCUUCAGUGCUGCAGCUAACGCAUUAAGCAUUCCGCCUGGGGAGUACGGCCGCAAGGCUGAAACUCAAAGGAAUUGACGGGGGCCCGCACAAGCGGUGGAGCAUGUGGUUUAAUUCGAAGCUACGCGAAGAACCUUACCAGGUCUUGACAUACUAUGCAAAUCUAAGAGAUUAGACGUUCCCUUCGGGGACAUGGAUACAGGUGGUGCAUGGUUGUCGUCAGCUCGUGUCGUGAGAUGUUGGGUUAAGUCCCGCAACGAGCGCAACCCUUAUUAUCAGUUGCCAGCAUUAAGUUGGGCACUCUGGUGAGACUGCCGGUGACAAACCGGAGGAAGGUGGGGAUGACGUCAAAUCAUCAUGCCCCUUAUGACCUGGGCUACACACGUGCUACAAUGGAUGGUACAACGAGUUGCGAACUCGCGAGAGUAAGCUAAUCUCUUAAAGCCAUUCUCAGUUCGGAUUGUAGGCUGCAACUCGCCUACAUGAAGUCGGAAUCGCUAGUAAUCGCGGAUCAGCAUGCCGCGGUGAAUACGUUCCCGGGCCUUGUACACACCGCCCGUCACACCAUGAGAGUUUGUAACACCCAAAGUCGGUGGGGUAACCUUUUAGGAACCAGCCGCCUAAGGUGGGACAGAUGAUAGGGUGAAGUCGACAAGA
rnacentral:rRNA from 2 species